UCCCCCUUUCUAUUCUUCACCUCUACGAGAGCAGGAAGAAAUUUGUAUUACUUUCAUAUCUGACUGCCGGCGAAACCCACCCUUGAUUUGGCUAGAAGUUGGUAUUGCAGCACAGAGUACGAGCGGAGCUUGCAGCAGUAGCCGGAUAGAGCUUACAGCAGGCUAUAUAACGCGUCGAAAGUUAGUAUUUUGCUGUCUAUAAUGUGUAUAUCACAGGGAUAAAUUUGCGGUAGUUCUAAUAUCGACUUUCAGCCCAUGUUUUUGUCGUAUUUUGAUGUGUACAUGAAGGGAAAUGCUAAAGUUUUAUUUUGAUGUACCCUUUCUGAACUUAGGCCUAGAUAUAUACUUUAUCGUCUGUAGCUAUUUCUACUUAUGAACUUUUCUUACAUGUUCAACUGUUUUUGCGUGGUGGUAUUGUUUUGAAAUGAUAUGUUGUGUGCCAGUCUGCUGGACUUAACUAAACUAAUAUCUUAGAACUUGUGAAUGAAACAAAUGCAUGUCUCUCACUA